rnacentral:lncRNA from 1 species
GCCCCCUCCUGUCCCCUCCCACCCCUCUGCCCUAUCUAGAGUUCAUUUAUUCCUCCCAUGCUCCCUCUCCCUAUCCCACUAUGAAUCAGUCUCCUUAUAUCAAAGAAAACAUUUGGCAUUUGUUUUUGUUGUUUUUUUUUGGGGGGGGGGGGAUUGCCUAACUUCAUUUAGCAUUAUCUUCUCUAACUCUAUCCAUUUACCUGCAAAUGCCAUGAUUUUAUUCUCUUUUAUUGCUGAGUAAAAUUCCAUUGUGUGUAUAUGCCACAUUUUUUUAUCCAUUCAUCUAUUGAAGGGCAUCUAGGUUGGUUCCACAGUUUAGCUAUUGUGAAUUGUGCUGCUAUAAACAUUGAUGUGGCGGUGUCCCUGUAGUAUGCUGUUUUUAAGUCCUUUGAGAAUAGACCGAGGAGAGGGAUAGCUGGGUCAAAUGGUGGUUCUAGUCCCAAUUUUUCAAGAAGUCUUCUUACUGCUUUCCAUAUUGGCUGCAUCAAUUUGCAGUCCCACCAACAGUGUAUGAGUAUACCUUUUUCCCCACAUCCUUGCCAACACUGUUGUUUGUCUUUAUAAUAGCUGCCAUUCUGACUGGAGUGAGAUGAUAUCUUAGAGUAGUUUUGAUUUGCAUUUCUCUAAUUGCUAGAGAUUAUGAGCAUUUUUUCAUAUAUUUGUUGAUUGAUUGUAUAUCCUCUUCUGAGAAGUGUCUGUUCAGGUCCUUGGCCCAUUUAUUGAUUGGGUUAUUUGUUUUUUUGGUGUUUAACUUUUUGAGUUCUUUAUAUACCCUAGAGAUUAGUGCUGUGAUUGUGAGGGGUAAAAAUUUGCUCCCAAGAUGUAGGCUCUCUAUUCACAGAUUGUCUCUUUUGCUGAGAAGAAACUUUUUAGUUUGAGUCCAUCCCAUUGAUUGAUUUUUUAAUUUUAAUUCUUGCACCCAAAGAGUUUUAUUAAGGAAGUUGAGGCCUAAUCCCACAUGAUGGAGGGAAAGGCCUACUUUUUCUUCUGAUAGAUGCAGGGUCUCUGGUUUUAUUCCUAAGUCCUUGAUCCAUUUUGAAUUGAGUUUUGUGCAUGGUGAGAGACAGGGGUUUAAUUUCAUUUGUUGCAUAUGUAUUUUCAGUUUUCCCAGCACCAUUUAUUGAAGAGGCUAUAUUUUCUCCAAUGCAUGUUUUGGCACCUUUGUAUAAGAUAAGAUAGUUGUAAUUUUGUGGGUUAGUCUCUGUAUCCUCUGUUCUGUACCAUUGGUUUACCAGUCUGGUUUGGUGCCAGUACCAUGCUGUUUCUGUUAAUAUUGCUCUGUAGUAUAGUUUAAGGUCUGUUAUUGUGAUGCCACCUGCUUCACUCUUCCUGCUAAGGAUUGCUUUAGCUAUUCUGGGUCUUUUAUUUUUCCAGAUGAAUUUUAUGAUUGAUUUUUCUAUUUCUAUGAGGAAUGUCAUUGGGAUUUUGAUCGGAAUUUCAUUAAAUCUUUAUAGUGCUUUUGGAAGUACGGUCAUUUUGAUAAUAUUAAUCCUGCCUAUCCAAGAGCAAGGUUAGAUCUUUCCAUCUUCUAAGGUCUUCUUUGACUUCUUUCUUUAGGAUUCUGUAAUUUUCAUUAUAUAGAUAUUUCAUCUCUUUGGUUAAGUUGAUUCCCAAGUAUUUUAUUUGGGGGGCCUGCAGAGGUCUAUGUAGGUGGAUCUGGGCUGCCCAGCUUGACCUCCUGCAGUAGUCUGCUAGUAGGAAGGGGCGGUCCUGUGCCAAGGGCUAGCCUCUGGUGGGUGUCUGCCCUGCAGGUGCAGGGGUGGGCCCGGGCCUACAAUGAGCCUGGAUCCUGUGCCAGUCAGUUUUGAUAAUCAGCUUUGUAGUAAGUUUUGGGUUUUUUAAAUAUUUACGUUUUUAGUUGUAGUUGGACAAAAUACCUUUAUUUAUUUAUUUUUAUGUGGUGCUGAGGAUCGAACCCCGGGCCUCACAUGCGCAAGGCUGAGCCACAACCCCAGCCCCAUUUUGUAGUAAGUUUUGAAAUCAGGAAUCAUGGAUCCUCCUAUUUUUUCAAUUUUAUAUUG